AGAUCACAUUGCAGGCAUACAACAGAAAUGAAUUGGAGAACGAUGACAUGUAACCAAUGAAAAAGUUAAGAGGCAGGACCUGCUGGAGGCACCCCAGCUGCGAUGUAAAGACAGUAUUAAACCCUGCUGCAUCCAUAGAAGUCAGCUGUUGUAUCGAGCGCAGAGUAUGUCGUUUACGUUGUUGAGCGGAAUUAAACACCAGC